AGAGUUUGAUCAUGGCUCAGAGCGAACGCUGGCGGCGUGCUUAACACAUGCAAGUCGAGUGCGCGGUUGUAGCAAUACAACUGGCGCACGGCGCACGGGUGCGUAACACGUGGGUACCUGCCCUUUGAUGGGGAAUAACCCCGCGAAAGCGGGGCUAAUUCCGCAUAAGAUCCGCAAGGAUGAAAGCCGUAAGGCGUCGAAGGAGGGGCCUGCGCACGAUUAGCUAGUUGGUAGGGUAACGGCCUACCAAGGCUAUGAUCGUUAGCUGGUCUGAGAGGAUGGCCAGCCACACUGGAACUGAGACACGGUCCAGACUCCUACGGGAGGCAGCAGUGGGGAAUCUUGCACAAUGGGCGAAAGCCUGAUGCAGCGACGCCGCGUGGGGGAUGAAGCUUCUCGGAGUGUAAACCCCUUUCGACCCGGACGAAUACCUCGCAAGAGGGGUGACGGUACGGGUAUAAGAAGCCCCGGCUAACUACGUGCCAGCAGCCGCGGUAAGACGUGGGGGGCCAGCGUUGCUCGGAAUUACUGGGUGUAAAGGGUCAGUAGGCGGUGUGGCAAGUCGGUAGUGAAAUCUCUGGGCUUAACUCAGAGGCUGCUUCCGAAACUGCUGUGCUUGAGUGUGGGAGAGGCGCGUGGAAUUGCAGGUGUAGCGGUGAAAUGCGUAGAUAUCUGCAGGAACACCCGUGGCGAAAGCGGCGCGCUGGACCACAACUGGCGCUGAAUGACGAAAGCUAGGGGAGCAAACAGGAUUAGAUACCCUGGUAGUCCUAGCCCUAAACGAUCAGGACUUGGGGUGCCACCCGUUCGGGUGUCGUCCCGGAGCUAACGCGUUAAGUCCUGCACCUGGGGAGUACGGUCGCAAGACUGAAACUCAAAGGAAUUGACGGGGGCCCGCACAAGCGGUGGAACAUGUGGUUCAAUUCGACGCUACGCGAGGAACCUUACCUGGGCUCGAAGCGCACUUGACAAGCUAUAGAAAUAUGGCCUUCCCGCAA
rnacentral:rRNA from 1 species